UACGUAGGGAGCAAGCGUUGUCCGGAAUCAUUGGGCGUAAAGCGCGCGUAGGCGGCCCUGUAAGUCCGUUGUGAAAGUCAAAGGCUCAACCUUUGAAAGCCGAUGGAUACUGCAGGGCUAGAGUCCGGAAGAGGCGAGUGGAAUUCCUGGUGUAGCGGUGGAAUGCGCAGAUAUCAGGAGGAACACCAAUAGCGAAGGCAGCUCGCUGGGACGGUACUGACGCUAAGGCGCGAAAGCGUGGGGAGCGACAGGA
rnacentral:rRNA from 1 species